UGAGCAACCCACCUCUCGGCGGGGGACAACGUUCCGAAAGGAGCGCUAAUACCGCAUGUGACCGCGGGGACACAAGUUCCUGCGGGGAAAGAUGGCCUCUAUUUAUAAGCUAUCACCGAGAGACGGGCUCGCGUCCCAUUAGCUAGUUGGCGGGGUAAUGGCCCACCAAGGCUAUGAUGGGUAGCUGGUCUGAGAGGAUGACCAGCCACACUGGAACUGAGACACGGUCCAGACUCCUACGGGAGGCAGCAGUCGGGAAUCUUGGACAAUGGGGGAAACCCUGAUCCAGCCACGCCGCGUGGGUGAUGGAGGCCUUCGGGUUGUAAAGCCCUGUCAGAAGGGAAGAAAGGGUCUUGACCUAAUACGUCCGGGCCUUGACGGUACCUUCAGAGGAAGCACCGGCUAACUACGUGCCAGCAGCCGCGGUAAGACGUAGGGUGCAAGCGUUGCUCGGAAUCACUGGGCGUAAAGGGCGUGUAGGCGGCUUGGUAAGCGGGAUGUGAAAGCCCCGGGCUCAACCCGGGAAGUGCAUUCCGAACUGCCUUGCUUGAGUUCGAGAGAGGGUGGUGGAAUUCCCGGUGGAACGGUGAAAUGUGUAGAUAUCGGGAGGAACAUCUGUGGCGAAGGCGGCCACCUGGCUCGAUACUGACGCUGAAACGCGAAAGCGUGGGUAGCAAACAGGAUUAGAUACCCUGGUAGUCCACGCCCUAAACGGUGAACACUCGGUGUUGGGAGUAUUGACCCUCUCAGUGCCUAAGCUAACGCGUUAAGUGUUCCGCCUGGGGACUACGGCCGCAAGGCUAAAACUCAAAGGAAUUGACGGGGGCCCGCACAAGCGGUGGAGCAUGUGGUUCAAUUCGAUGCAACGCGCAGAACCUUACCUGGGCUAGACAUCACCCGGACGUCCCAUGAAAGUGGGCUUCCUCUUCGGAGGCCGGUGGAUCAGGUGCUGCAUGGCUGUCGUCAGCUCGUGUCGUGAG
rnacentral:rRNA from 1 species